rnacentral:ncRNA from 2 species
AGAACUGAAUAGGGUAUGGAUUUCAGCCCUGGUUAAUUUCAGGCUGAGAAUAGGGAAGUGGGUUUGAAUCCCACGCGGUCCCGCCGCUGUAAUAGAGGAGUCCUGCCGCAUUGCCACUGGGAAACCGGGAAGGCGCGAGCCGGAUGAUGAUACUUGAGCCAGAAGACCUGUCUAUACCUUUACACCGGU